rnacentral:misc_RNA from 1 species
UACAUUUAAAAAAAAAAAAAGGAAAUGUGGUCUAAUAUGGGAUCCCCUCAAUGAUGCCAAAGUAUAAGAGCUCAGCUACCUGAUUUGAAAGCUUUCCUUUGUCAAAUGAAAUCUGUCAGACAUUACAUAUCCAAUAGAUUCCAGAUUCUAUGUUGGCGUAGAGAAGCUGACCCGGAACCCUGACUUCCCAUGGUCAUAAUCAAAUUUCUUCAACAUGUAGCAGUAGUUUAACUGGAAAAAAAAAUCCACAUAAUUAGUAAAGAACUAACAGGCCCAAGUCUUGAAGAAAGAAAUCAGCAAAAUAAAAACAAAAGAUAAGAGGACACUUUUUCAAGAUACCCUAAUAUGGAACUUGCACAACAAUAGACCCUGCAUAGUGUAUAAAAGGGGAUCUCUCCCACACAGUUUUGGUUAUGUACUUGUGUUCGAGAACAAAUAGCAGCAAAGGCCUUGUUAAAUUGUGGUUUGUUUCCCAGAAAAUUAUGCCUAGGAAACUGAAAAAUGGACUUAGGCUUUUAGUUGUAAAUAUCGUGCAAAUGGAGAAUUAGAAAUCAAUUUUCUAAGUUCUCUAAAAUUUUCUUUAUAUUGAAGAGCCACAGACCCCAGCAACAAUAUCCCUUACAAUAGGUCCUUCCAUCCAAAUUCAUAAUAUAAUUAACACAAUCAAAGGCCAUACAAAUAACAUAAACAUGGGGUCAUAUUGCACAAUUCAAGAUUGCCAAUGUCAUGCUUACUAUAAACAAUUUAUUCAAUAUUCAAUUUUUUACAUCAAAACUCAGCCAUAAGAACAGAGAAAUAUAGAGAACUUCAGAAAGAAAUUAUUUUCACACUGCAAAGUUUUAUAAAUAAAAGUGUGGCAUUUGCUUUUGAAUCCCUUAAUCUACUAAUGAUGUUGAAAGGGAAGACUUGUCAUAACUCUAUAAGGUUUUCCUACAGUUCAAGGAUUUAACUUUAAAUAUUUGAAAGUAGAUGCAAUGUUAUUAAGGCGAAAGGCGACAU